rnacentral:rRNA from 1 species
AUUGAACGCUAGCGGGAUGCUUUACACAUGCAAGUCGAACGGAGUGGCGGACGGGUGAGUAAUAUCUCGGAACGUGCCUAGUAGCGGGGGAUAACUACUGGAAAGAGUGGCUAAUACCGCAUACGAUUGGCGCGGCCGAUAUUGGAUUAGCUAGUUGGUGGGGUAAAGGCUCACCAAGGCGACGAUCAGUAGCUGGUCUGAGAGGAUGACCAGCCACACUGGAACUGAGAAACGGGCCAGACUCCUACGGGAGGCAGCAGGGGGGAAUAUUGGACAAUGGGGGAAAGCCUGAUGCAGCCAUGCCGCGUGUAUGAUGAAGGCCUUAGGGUUGUAAAGUACUUUUAGCAGGGAAGCGGUAUCGGCAGAAGAAGCACCGGCUAACUCCGUGCCAGCAGCCGCGGUAAUAC